UACGUAGGGUGCAGGCGUUAAUCGGAAUUACUGGGCGUAAAGCGUGCGCAGGCGGUCUGCUAAGACAGGUGUGAAAUCCCCGGGCUUAACCUGGGAACUGCGCUUGUUACUGGCAGGCUGGAGUGUGGCAGAGGGGGGUGGAAUUCCACGUGUAGCAGUGAAAUGCGUAGAUAUGCGGAGGAACACCGAUGGCGAAGGCAAUCCCCUGGGCCUGCACUGACGCUCAUGCACGAAAGCGUGAGGAACAAACAGG
rnacentral:rRNA from 1 species